rnacentral:rRNA from 1 species
CCUACGCAGUGCAGCAGUGGGGAAUAUUGGACAAUGGGCGAAAGCCUGAUCCAGCCAUGCCGCGUGUGUGAAGAAGGCCUUCGGGUUGUAAAGCACUUUCAGUGGGGAAGAAAGCCUUGGGGCUAAUACCCUCGAGGAAGGACAUCACCCACAGAAGAAGCACCGGCUAACUCCGUGCCAGCAGCCGCGGUAAUACGGAGGGUGCGAGCGUUAAUCGGAAUUACUGGGCGUAAAGCGCGCGUAGGCGGUCUGAUAAGCCGGUUGUGAAAGCCCCGGGCUCAACCUGGGAACGGCAUCCGGAACUGUCAGGCUAGAGUGCAGGAGAGGAAGGUAGAAUUCCCGGUGUAGCGGUGAAAUGCGUAGAGAGCGGGAGGAAUACCAGUGGCGAAGGCGGCCUUCUGGACUGACACUGACGCUGAGGUGCGAAAGCGUGGGUAGCAAACAGGAUUAGAUACCCUAGUAGUC